AUGAACGCUGGCGGCGUGCUUAACACAUGCAAGUCGAGCGAGAAGUUUUGAAAAGACUCUUCGGAUGAAAUUUAAAAUGGAAAGCGGCGGACGGGUGAGUAACGCGUAGGCAACCUGCCCCAUACAAAGGGAUAGCAUUUGGAAACGAAUAUUAAUACCUUAUGAAACUUAACUAGUGCAUGCUAGGUAGGUCAAAGAUUUAUCGGUAUGGGAUGGGCCUGCGUCUGAUUAGCUAGUUGGUGAGGUAACGGCUCACCAAGGCGACGAUCAGUAGCCGACCUGAGAGGGUGAACGGCCACAUUGGAACUGAGACACGGUCCAAACUCCUACGGGAGGCAGCAGUGGGGAAUAUUGCACAAUGGGGGAAACCCUGAUGCAGCAACGCCGCGUGAACGAUGAAGGCCUUUGGGUCGUAAAGUUCUGUUCUAGGUGAUGAAAACUGACAGUAACCUAGGAGAAAGCCCCGGCUAACUCCGUG
rnacentral:rRNA from 1 species